rnacentral:rRNA from 1 species
GACGAACGCUGGCGGCAUGCCUAACACAUGCAAGUCGAACGAGACCUUCGGGUCUAGUGGCGCACGGGUGCGUAACGCGUGGGAACCUGCCCUUAGGUUCGGAAUAACUCCCCGAAAGGGGUGCUAAUACCGGAUAAUGUCUUCGGACCAAAGAUUUAUCGCCUUUGGAUGGGCCCGCGUUGGAUUAGCUAGUUGGUAGGGUAAAAGCCUACCAAGGCGACGAUCCAUAGCUGGUCUGAGAGGAUGAUCAUCCCCACUGGGACUGAGACACGGCCCAGACUCCUACGGGAGGCAGCAGUGGGGAAUAUUGGACAAUGGGCGAAAGCCUGAUCCAGCAAUGCCGCGUGAGUGAUGAAGGCCUUAGGGUUGUAAAGCUCUUUUACCCGGGAUGAUAAUGACAGUACCGGGAGAAUAAGCUCCGGCUAACUCCGUG